UGUGGUUGUAGCUCAGUGAUAUAGCACUUGACUAGAACACAUGAGGGCCUGGGUUCAAUCCUCAGCAUCACAA
rnacentral:tRNA from 1 species